rnacentral:rRNA from 1 species
GCAGGCUGCAACCCGCCUGCAUGAAGUCGGAAUUGCUAGUAAUCGCGGAUCAGCAUGCCGCGGUGAAUACGUUCCCGGGCCUUGUACACACCGCCCGUCACACCAUGGGAGCCGGUAAUACCCGAAGUCAGUAGUCCAACCUCGUGAGGACGCUGCCGAAGGUAGGAUUGGCGACUGGGGUGAAGUCGUAACAAGGUAGC